rnacentral:rRNA from 1 species
UACAGAGGGGGCAAGCGUUGUUCGGAAUUACUGGGCGUAAAGGGCGCGUAGGCGGCCUUCUAAGUCAUGCGUGAAAUCCCCGGGCUCAACCCGGGAACUGCGUCUGAUACUGGAAGGCUUGAAUCCGGGAGAGGGAUGUGGAAUUCCAGGUGUAGCGGUGAAAUGCGUAGAUAUCAGGAGGAACACCGGUGGCGAAGGCGGGAUCCUGGGCCAGUACUGACGCUGAGGAGCGAAAGCGUGGGGAGCAAACAGGG